rnacentral:rRNA from 1 species
AAGCGUCGUAGUUGAAUUUCGGGAUUAGUACGUUGGUCGUGCCUUAGGUACGUACUGGUGUUACUGGUUCCUACCUUCUGACGAACCAUCAUGUCAUUAAUUUGGUGUGGUGGGGAAUCAGGACUGUUACUUUGAAAAAAUUAGAGUGUUUAAAGCAGGCUCGCGCUUGAAUACAUUAGCAUGGAAUAAUGAAAUAGGACGUUGAUCCUAUUUUGUUGGUUUCUAGGAUUGACGUAAUGAUUAAUAGGGAUAGUUGGG